AUUGAACGCUGGCGGCAGGCCUAACACAUGCAAGUCGAACGAGUGGCGGACGGGUGAGUAAUGUCUGGGAACCUGCCUGAUGGAGGGGGAUAACUACUGGAACCGGUAGCUAAUACCGCAUACCAUCGGAUGUGCCCUGGUGGGAUUAGCUAGUAGGGGGGGUAACGGCUCACCUAGGCGACGAUCCCUAGCUGGGCUGAGAGGAUGACCAGCCACACUGGAACUGAGACACGGUCCAGACUCCUACGGGAGGCAGCAGUGGGGAAUAUUGCACAAUGGGCGAAAGCCUGACGCAGCAAUGCCGCGUGGAUGAAGAAGGCCUUCGGGUUGUAAAGUACUGUCAGCGGGGAGGCGUUACCCGCAGAAGAAGCACCGGCUAACUCCGUGCCAGCCGCCGCGGUAAUUC
rnacentral:rRNA from 1 species